rfam:Enterocytozoon bieneusi H348 ctg01_471, whole genome shotgun sequence.
CCUUUUAGGCUUGAUUAAGCCAAGCCACAGCAUUCGUGAAUUUUUUUAGGGAGGUUGGUACAAAGUUUGAAACCAUCACACUGUUGGGGGGGGCAACUUGGAAAAGCUUGGUGGGGAGUUUUGGUUGGGGACGGCACAACUAUUAAAACCUAACGGAGACGUCCAAAGGUAAGUUCCGAGGGGAAUGGAAACCACUUCGGAGAGUAUAAGGGCAAAAGGCUUGCUUUAGUUAUUAAUGUAAAUUAAUAAUACUGGAAACAGGGGGCCUAGAGAUCCUCUAUGAAACUAAGCAUAGAGGUGACGGAAAAGUUACCACAGGGAUAACUGGCUUGUGGCGGCCGAGCGUCCAUAGCGACGCCGCUUUUUGAUUCUUCGAUGUCGGCUCUUCCGAGCAUGGUGGAGUAUCAGCCACCAAGUGUGUGAUUGUUCACCAACUAACAGGGAACGUGAGCUGGGUUUAGACCGUCGCGAGACAGGUUAGUUUUACCCUACUGCAUCGCGUCCGAGAGUAGGUCGGGGCAGUACGAGAGGAAGUGCCGAUCAGAACCGCUGGUGAUACUUUCGUCUGUUAAGGCGCGAAGUGUAGCUACGUUCUUCUUAUAAUAGCUGAAAGCCUCUAAGCUAGAAUGAGUACUUAAGGACGCAAAGAUAUGAAGACUACAUAUGUAAGGAUGAGGGUUGUACGAUAUAAGCUUCUGCGAGUAUUUCAGACCACUUAUUUCCUUUUUUAGAACAUGCUUGCUCGGAUACAUACAGGAAUUCCGGGGAAAGGAAAAAUUUAUUUUUU